CAUCCCAUGUAUAUAGACUAUAUCUCCCAUAUACAUUCUAUCUUCAUAUAAUGUAUUAAAGUCAUAACUUUAACAAAGAAGUAUUCUUUUCAUUUCCUAAAUUAAUAUAUCAUAUAUAUUUCAAUCUUUUAGGAACAUGAUUAACUCCCACUAAUCUUUUGUAAAACUAGUAAACAAAAGAUUCAUUUACAUCUUUAUGAGAAAUCAAACGAUUUGAUCAUUUUCUCAUAAAAUGCAAAUAGCUCCCACUAACUUGCUAAGAUCCAUGAUGGAUGGAUAUCUACAACUUACAUGUCUUGUGAUUUAUAGUUUUAGACAUAU
rnacentral:lncRNA from 1 species